rnacentral:rRNA from 1 species
AAGUGCGAAUGCUGACAUAAGUAACGAUAAAACGGGUGAAAAACCCGUUCGCCGGAAGACCAAGGGUUCCUGUCCAACGUUAAUCGGGGCAGGGUGAGUCGGCCCCUAAGGCGAGGCUGAAAAGCGUAGUCGAUGGGAAACAGGUUAAUAUUCCUGUACUUGGUAAAGCUGCGAUGUGGGGACGGAGUAGGUUAGGUUAGCGUGCUGUUGGAUAUGCACGUUUAAGUUGGUAGGUGGGAAGUUUAGGCAAAUCCGGACUUCUAUUAAACACUGAGAGAUGAUGACGAGGCUCUACGGAGCUGAAGUAACUGAUACCACACUUCCAGGAAAAGCCACUAAGCGACAGGCUUUACUAAACCGUACUGAAAACCGACACAGGUGGUCAGGUAGAGAAUACUCAGGCGCUUGAGAGAACUCGGGUGAAGGAACUAGGCAAAAUAGCACCGUAACUUCGGGAGAAGGUGCGCCGGCGUAGAUUGUAAGGGCUUGCCCCUGAAGGUUGAACCGGUCGAAGAUACCAGCUGGCUGCAACUGUUUAUUAAAAACACAGCACUCUGCAAACACGAAAGUGGAGGUAUAGGGUGUGAUGCCUGCCCGGUGCUGGAAGGUUAAUUGAUGGUGUAAUCGAAAGAGAAGCACCUGAUCGAAGCCCCAGUAAACGGCGGCCGUAACUAUAACGGUCCUAAGGUAGCGAAAUUCCUUGUCGGGUAAGUUCCGACCUGCACGAAUGGCAUAAUGAUGGCCAGGCUGUCUCCACCCGAGACUCAGUGAAAUUGAAAUCGCCGUGAAGAUGCGGUGUACCCGCGGCUAGACGGAAAGACCCCGUGAACCUUUACUAUAGCUUGACACUGAACAUUGAAUUUUGAUGUGUAGGAUAGGUGGGAGACUAAGAAGUAGGAACGCCAGUUUCUAUGGAGUCAUCCUUGAAAUACCACCCUUUAACGUUUGAUGUUCUAACGAAGAUUACGAAACGUGGUCUCGGACAGUGUCUGGUGGGUAGUUUGACUGGGGCGGUCUCCUCCCAAAGCGUAACGGAGGAGCACGAAGGUUUGCUAAUCACGGUCGGACAUCGUGAGGUUAGUGCAAUGGUAUAAGCAAGCUUAACUGCGAGACAGACAAGUCGAGCAGGUACGAAAGUAGGUCAUAGUGAUCCGGUGGUUCUGAAUGGAAGGGCCAUCGCUCAACGGAUAAAAGGUACUCCGGGGAUAACAGGCUGAUACCGCCCAAGAGUUCAUAUCGACGGCGGUGUUUGGCACCUCGAUGUCGGCUCAUCACAUCCUGGGGCUGAAGUAGGUCCCAAGGGUAUGGCUGUUCGCCAUUUAAAGUGGUACGCGAGCUGGGUUUAGAACGUCGUGAGACAGUUCGGUCCCUAUCUGCCGUGGGCGUAGGAGAAUUGGUUGGGGCUGCUCCUAGUACGAGAGGACCGGAGUGGACGCACCACUGGUGUUCCGGUUGUGUCGCCAGACGCAUUGCCGGGUAGCUAAGUGCGGAAGAGAUAAGUGCUGAAAGCAUCUAAGCACGAAACUUGCCAAGAGAUGAGUUCUCCCUGUCUUUAAGACAGUAAGGGUUGUUUAAGACGAAGACGUAGAUAG